AUUUCUUCCAUUUCUCUGAAGGAAUGAGGCCUACCCAUGCUAGGUAGGCAGCUCCAUCAGGCCUGGUGGUAGGGGCCGUCUGUGGAGGUCAGGAGUGUACCCGCAUGCCUGCUCCCCUCCACAGCACAUUGUGGUUCUCCCACGAGUUUAUCUGAGUUCUCCUGGUCUCAGCCAUGUUUUAUCCUGUGUCAUCCCCACGGUAAGGAACUCCUUGCCUUUGCCCGUUGUGUAAAACUCAACUGCCGUUUAUUUGUCCUUAGAUCAUUCUUUUGAGCUUCAAGGGAUGCCUGGGGUUCUGUUUCAGGUCUGUGUCAGUUCUCUUUAUUGUCCUUUGUGAUUUUGCAGACUUGAUCCAAUGCCAUCAGUCCUGUUUUUCCAGAAUGGAGUUCCUGGCUUUUUGUAUUCACCCGUCAUGUCUCACCAUUUCAUGUGCCUCUUGGAUGUCUGGUGUGCUUCAUGUGUCAGAGUGAGUCUCCCCAGUAGAGUUGGGGUGCCCUGAAGGCAGGGCCUUUAUCCCCCUUUCCUAGAUCCACCUGCAGCCACACACACAGGAAGACCUUCCCACCGCACAGAUAGACUCGAGAAGCCCCGUCUCUGCUCCCAUUCUAGUCCCAGCCGGACCAUGCUGAGGUCAGCUUCUUAGUGGCCACAGACAUUGCCCAUCCCAGGAGAGAGCUCGGAAGAAAUUCCUCAUUGUUGGCUUCAUACUGCCAUGGGUUACUUAGAGGCUGGGGCAUUUUUGAGAUCAAAGGCUGCCGUUAGAGAUGGUCAGAGAGCAUUGGUGGCAUGCAGAGCCACAGCAGAGACCACCUCCAGGACUAAGGAAGGGAGAUGACAGUAAGUGUGCACCUGCUGUGUGACACAUGCUGUCCACAGGGCCUGGAAUCUGGCAGCAGAGGGAGCUGGGUGCUGUGGCCUUCCCAGCAAUGAGCUGCCCUGGGGAUGAAAUCCCUGCACUGUGACACCCUCCUUGGUGUGAGUGUACCAUGGGGUCUGAAGGAGGAGGGGGCAAGGUUGAGGGCUCUGAGUGGCUGAUCUUGACAGAUGAUGGAUGUGUCUGAGAGGGGAGAAGGCCCAGCCUUGCAUUCUUGGGAACAGGUGCUGAUUGCCUUCAGGGCUCCAGCCUCUUUUCUUGGCCUUUUCAAUGCUCAGACAUCCUCUUCCUUGCCCUCACCCCUGCUCUUCCCACAUCUUCAAAGCUGAAGGAGUCUCCUUAUUCUGGAGGUGAGGAGCAGUGAGGGAGAACUGCCUGUAAGUCAGCAGAGAACUGGACAAGGGUGCCUAGCCUUGCGCCUGGGUCAGGUCUGCAGGUGCCUUCUACACCAACCUUGUGCCUAAGUGCCAGGUUUCCAGCUAAAUGCUCAACACAUUUCUUCACCAAAAAGAGAGCUGAAAUGAAUGACUGUGGGGUUCUGUCUUGUCCAUUCUGAUAAUGAUAACAAUGAUGACAACAGCAUCCAACACCUGUAGAAUGUUCACUAGCCACCAGGCACUGUUUCUUAUGUUAACUUAGUUUUUCUUUGCAAUGAUCUUGAAGGGAUACAUUUAACAUAUAUGAAAAAUGAGUUGCAGAUGAAUUGAGUCGCCAAGGGCUCUGUUUACAAGCAUGCCUCCCCACCAUCCUGUCCUUAAAAUAGUGAUUCCAAGUUAGUUUUCAUUAAUGAUCCAUGAGUGAUGGCCAGCAUGCAGCACCUAGUUUCAUGUGGACAUUUCUCUCUCUGGUUUAUGACCACUGCACGGGGUGGAUGGUUAUUAUUAUUGGGAAUAACCGUGUAUCAGAGUGCAGCUCUU
rnacentral:lncRNA from 1 species